CCUACGGGUGGCUGCAGCAAGGAAUUUUGCGCAAUGGGCGAAAGCCUGACGCAGCAACGCCGCGUGGGGGAUGACGGCCCUCGGGUUGUAAACCCCUUUUCUCAGGGAAGAUGAUGACGGUACCUGAGGAAUAAGUCUCGGCUAACUACGUGCCAGCAGCCGCGGUAAUACGUAGGAGGCAAGCGUUGUCCGGAUUUACUGGGCGUAAAGGGCUCGCAGGCGGUCCGUUAAGUCUGACGUGAAAUCUCCCGGCUCAACUGGGAGGGUGCAUUGGA
rnacentral:rRNA from 1 species